rnacentral:rRNA from 1 species
UACGUAGGGUGCAAGCGUUAAUCGGAAUUACUGGUCGUAAAGCGUGCGCAGGCGGUCCGCUAAGUCAGAUGUGAAAUCCCCGGGCUUAACCUGGGAACUGCAUUUGUGACUGGCGGGCUAGAGUAUGGCAGAGGGGGGUAGAAUUCCACGUGUAGCAGUGAAAUGCGUAGAGAUGUGGAGGAAUACCGAUGGCGAAGGCAGCCCCCUGGGCCAAUACUGACGCUCAUGCACGAAAGCGUGGGGAGCAAACAGG